UGAAGUCCCAGUACUUUGGCCACCUGAUGCAGAGAACCGACUCAUUGGAAAAGACCCUGAUACUGGGAAAGAUUGAGGGCAGGAGAAGGGGACGACAGAGAAUGAGAUGGUUGGAUGGCAUCACCGACUCGAUGGACAUGAGUUUGAGCAAGCUCUGG